CGAGUAGCCUUAUCAUUGACGUUCUUCUCCACUGCGAAGAACCGAUACACCACCCUCAGAAUUUGAUCUACGUCCGUUUCCCACCCAUUGAUUAUCGCGCAGAGAAUCCCUUGGCAGAUAGAGCCAUCGAAAAUUCUGCCCGGACGCGUUCUCGCGGUUCCUGGAGAUUGGAGCGCAAACUCCGCGUUCCUGCCUUCAACGUUUAGUCACCCGCGGACAGGCGUCGCGGUGUCACGUGUUCUUGGCCCCAACAACCGUGUUUUGGAUCGGUGGCGCGCGUAAAAGCCACCGCUUUUAGUAACUGUCGCCCCAGACAGAGAAAAAGACACUCGAAUGACGAAUGCCGUAUAGAUCGUGAUCUUUGAAUUCUCGCGGGGCGAUCGAGCCUCGUGCACGAUCGUUCGCGUUUACUUUCCCUUUCCACGCGCUCUCGCUCCCCAUUGGACAGCUCGCUCGUGAUCGCCACGUGGUCGUGUCGCGAUCGAUGAGUGGUGCAUAUCCUGCAACCGGCUGAGAAAGAACCCACCACGCAUCGGCGAGAGAGAAAGAUAAGGAGAGGAUCAUUCGGAACUGGGUGCUGCUAGGAAACGUCCUGCCAGCUAGAUUUCAGAGGACGGCUACCGUAGGCAGCGCAGAGGGUCUCCACGUCAAAGAUCGGAUUCACAAAGUUCUAACAUACGCAAACUAUAAUAGCCCAUCUCCAUCGCUCGCCAGAAAA